UUGCUAUUCUGUAUAAAUUAAGCACUAUAAUCCUGUUCUGUUUGAAGGAUGUUUUUCUACAUGCUGUUACUGAAAACUCCAUUUGUGGAAAGUUUUUUUUUUAGUUUGUUUUGCGUUUUUAUACAGUGCAUGUUUGAUAAAACAUGGCAAGUCUGAAAAGUAUUUGUUUUCUGAGAUGUGACGAGUAAAUCAUAAAUAUUUGAAGUGACUUGGUGGUCUUUUGAUUUGUAUGUACUUAAACUUGGUCGUUCAUAUGGAGUUUAACAAUGUAAACUGUGUCAUGCAUAUAGUUAUAUAAUUUUAACCGUGUCAAUGUGUCAUAGCUGUCAAAACAUGUUCCCAGCAAGGGAUAAUUGAAAUUUAAAUGGUAACCAUUAAUGAACCCUACAACCUGUAUGGUAAAAUGUUUACUUAACUUUGAACCAAUGGGAAAGUGGGACAUGACAUGACGGGUACAGUACAGUCCUUAAAUCUGCGGGGGUGUAUUAUGUUCCCCAGGUGCGAUUUUAUUUUUUCGUAGGUGAGUUGGUACUUCAACCAAUCACAAGUCAUGAGAGUGAAAUGUCAUACAUCAAGCAGCUUAACCCUGACCCUGCUGUAGCCACUAACCUUAAGGAUAGUGGGCCGGUGCCUAAAAUAGAAGUGGGGGAACAUAGGGCUGACCCCGUCUGCAGAAGUUUAAAACUGCAGGAAUAAACCUGUGAACUUAACAUCCGGAGAUUUUUCGGGGGCGGGUCUUCGGUUAAAGCUGAUACCUGAUUGGUCGAGUCUCACUGCGGUUCCUGUUUCGAAACGCAUGUUGUGUUUCAACGGUGCUGCGAAGUGACGAGACAAACCUGGCACGAAAACACUAGCUAAAAGCCACUCUUACAGGUUUGAUCGUUUUAACUUUAUACAUUGUGCAGAAAGGACUGACGCGAAGCAAAGCUAAAGCGGCUUUAGCUUCGUGUCUAAGUUGGGAGAUGUUUGCCCCUAGGGUCUCCGCCAAAAGUAAGACCGUCUCAUCGGGCAGGCUAACGGGAGCAGUCAAAGCAGUCAGGACGAGAGGGACUCCAAUAUCUAGACCUGAGGUGGCAUAUUCCCUAUACUCAGAAGAUGCAGAGGACCAGGUCGCCACUAUUCACAAAGGGCUGGACCGUUGCGCCGCUCUUCUCGGUGACAUCCUCCACUGCGAAAAAGGGGCCGUGCCAAAGCAGGACAGCGCGAUGAAGGAUGGAGGGGCCAAAUGUCGCCCCCACACUCCGACGGGGAAGAAGGCCAUCCGGAGGUCCAUCCCCAAAUCGGUUUCGAACCCUCGCAGCGCUCAGAAGGUCCGUAGAAAAUCCUAUACCAAAUCCCCUGCUGCCGCCCCCAGGGCAGCCCCGCCCCUGCCCACUACGGCGUGA
rnacentral:lncRNA from 1 species